CCCAGAUGAAGCUUGACAGGAGAACUGGACACAACAGGCCAGGUUUCCCUAGGAUCACCAGCUGUCAUGGACUGAUUUGUGUCUCUCCAAAUUCAUAUGUUGAAUACUUAACCUGCCAUGCGAUUGUGAUUGGAGAUAAUUCCUUUAGGGAAGCAAUGAAGGUUAAAUGAGGUCAUAGGUGGGAGCUUAAUCCAAUGGGACUGGGGUCCCUACAAGAAGAGGAAGACACCAGAGCUCUCUGUCUCCACACACAGAGAAAAGAGGCUGUAUGAGGACACAAGAGAAGGUAAUAGCUGUCUACAAACCAAGAAGAGAAGCCUCUCCAGAAAAUGAACCCUGC
rnacentral:lncRNA from 1 species